rnacentral:lncRNA from 1 species
UAAUAAUAAUAAUAAACUUUAUUGAUACCCCGCCACCAUCUCCCCAACGGGGACUCGGGGCGGCUUACAUGGGGCCAUGCCCAGAACAAUACAAUAUAACAAAAUAUAAAUAAAACAACAAAUCAUAACACAUUAAACAAUACAAGAAAUGAUUUUUUUUGAAAUACUACCAGCUUAUAUUAAUGAAUUUGCUUUGCCAUAUUUAAAUCUCAUGCAUUUCUUCCCCUUCUCACUUCUUUCUUCUUUCUCUCCCUCUUGUUUAUAAUUGAAUUUUUAAAAAUUCCAAUAAAAUAACUUGCACAAAAAUAUCCAGAAAAUUCACCUAAACCUGUCAAUCAAGUUUGUUUAAUUUUUUUUCAGAAAUCUCAAUUCCCGGAAGAAUGGGAUUUGAAGUAUUAGUUGAUGAAGCACACAAAUUAGUUGAUGGAUUGGCUUCAAAUCCUUACUACAGUUCUGAGUUUGGGCCUAUUAGAUAACAUAUCAAAUAAAUGUGUGCAAUCUGGCCAAAAGGGAUGCCGUUUUGGGCUUCAUUGUUGACUGACCCCUCAUUCUGUUUACUGGGAAGUUACUCGAAAGGGGAGGAGUUUUGGUGUUUUCAUCCAGCAAAGAUUCUGCCCAUUAUGUACAAUGGGAAACUUUAAAUGCUGAAUGCUCAGCUAAUUUAAAGCCUAUUUGCAUGAAACCUACCUCAAUUUUAGACCCCAUUUACAACUGCAAGCCUGUCAAGUUCCAAAACAAUUCACCAAUCUAUUUUUUAAGAAUUAUUUUAAGUCUUAACCAUAAUAUUUUUUAAAAAUAAGACAAACUGUAAGAGAGAGUUCUGGGAAUUGUAGCCGCCAGUUGUGUCGCUUCUCAGCCAAUCAGAGCGUGGACACCACCAGGCUUUUUCUUGGCUUAGAAACACAGAGAGAAAAACUUCAACUCCUUUCAAGUUCCAAGAGGAAGUUUUCAAUGCCCGCCCUGUGCAAGUACUGCUGGGAAAGCAAGUUCCCAGGGCCCUCUCUGGAGGAGAAGGAAACUUUCCAAGAAGAAAUGGAGGACACUGCUUCUGCUGGGGAAUGCGGCAGAUCCCUGCCUCAGAAUGAAUGAAAUAACAUCCCAAAAGAAAACAAGUAUACAGUAUGAUCCCCAUAUGCACAGAAAUUCUACCCAUGGUUUUAUUUAUAUUCAUGCAACAAAGUUCUUUCUGGGCAUUUUUGCCUUGAGUCCCUUUUGGAGUAGAGAAAGGUGGGGUAGAAAUGUCGUAAAUAAAUAAAUAAAUUUUCGAGGUCUUCCAGCUUGAUUUUGUGGUACGUGCCUGUUCCUUUCAAUAGGGUUCAAUAUUAUUUCUGCUUUCAUGUCCAUGAUUGUCUCCUAACAACCCUUUUGUGAGGACAGAGGGCAGUGUAACCCAAAUGUGACACAAUGUUUUGACCCCCCCCCCCCCCAAAAAAAAACUACAGUAAAGGAUUAAGGCUAGAACACAUCUGAUAAAUAACUAAAGCAAAUACUUUUCAGACUUUUAAUCUUCCAAACAUUUACUUAUCUCAUUGAAUGCUCUGUCAAAAUUGAUACUAUGGGACUUGAAACAUAAUCAUUUGAGAUUUAUGACUAUUUAUAUGGCUGCAUAUUUCAUUAUUCAAUGCACACUUCAGUUCAAAGUUAAUUGAAAAAUGAGCUCAUUACUUAUUCUCAUUUGCAAAACCAGACUGAUAUGGCAGCAACCGGAACUUUGUUUAUCUUCAGUGUUUCCAACAAUUAUAUUUAAGAUCAUUAGAAGAUGAAUCCAGAUAUGCAGAAGAAAAGGAAGUAUCUUCUUCCAAACCUCUGAAUCUACCCUGGAUGUGAUCCAGCUGAAGGCAAUUCUUUUGGCGCAUACCAAUUUUAGUGCAAAUGUAAAGAAUAUGCUCCCCCUCUCUUUCUUUUAAAAUAAUACUGCAGAUCAGUGAUACUUGAAAGAACAUUUAUUUUUCUGGAUGGUGCCCCUAAUUUCUGUUUGGUGCAUUGAUAGAUUUAUAUAAAUUGGUGCCAGUCUUUAUUAUUGUGAAACUUAUGUGCUGUUAGGGAGAUGUGGGCAUGGCUUACUUUAUUUUCAUCAUCCUGCUAAUUCAUUUCUUGGAAUUAACCCCACCCUCUAAAUCGUGUUAAGAACAGUGCAGUUGUGUAAGUGUGGGUUGGGAACACACCCGAUUUGUAGGGAAGAAUGUUCUUGCAUAUUUUCAUGUUAUUUUUCAAGCUAGGAAUUACUGCAUCUCAUCUAGUCAGUUUGCAUUCUCACUCAGUAUGAAAUGGAACAAAACCUCUCAUCACUGACAAGUGGACCAGAUGGGCUUUAAUUUUUAGGGAUACUCCUGAGAUCAAGCAGAAGAGCAAUUGAGAAGAUUGUAAGCCCUGCUCAUAACUACCGGUCUAUCUUAAUUUAGGCAGAAAAACAGUUUCUGGAAUUUCAGCUCACACUGAUGUCAUACUUGCAAAUAAAACAUUUAUUUGCAGCCAAAAGGAUUAGAGCCUUUUAAAAAAAACUGCUUUGUUAUUGUAAUGGUUAUGUAAAUCAAACAAAGUCAGAAUUUCUCCAAUCUCACUAUGUUCACUAUCUUCCCUACUUGCGUGCUUCCAAGGAAAGGCAGAGUUCCUUGCUUCUUUGGGAAUGUACUGAAAUGUUUAAAAUGCUCCAUGACAGUCUUCAUUGCUCAGUCUUAUUUAUUUUUAUUUAUUUAUUUGCUACAUUUAUAUGCCGCCCUUCUCACCCCGAAGGAGA